GACGAACGCUGGCGGCGUGCUUAACACAUGCAAGUCGAACGAGAAUCUGUGGAUCGAGGAUUCGUCCAAGUGAAGCAGAGGACAGUGGCGGACGGGUGAGUAACGCGUGAGGAACCUGCCUUUCAGAGGGGGACAACAGUUGGAAACGACUGCUAAUACCGCAUGAUACGUUUUAGGGGCAUCCCUGAGACGUCAAAGAUUUAUCGCUGAAAGAUGGCCUCGCGUCUGAUUAGCUAGUUGGUGAGGUAACGGCCCACCAAGGCGACGAUCAGUAGCCGGACUGAGAGGUUGACCGGCCACAUUGGGACUGAGAUACGGCCCAGACUCCUACGGGAGGCAGCAGUGGGGAAUAUUGGGCAAUGGGCGCAAGCCUGACCCAGCAACGCCGCGUGAAGGAAGAAGGCUUUCGGGUUGUAAACUUCUUUUAAGAGGGAAGAGCAGAAGACUGUACCUCUAGAAUAAGCCACGGCUAACUACGUGCCAGCAGCCGC
rnacentral:rRNA from 1 species